AAGUGCCAUGUGAUCUAGUUUUGAUUGGGACAUCUGAUCCGCAAGGAAUGUGCUAUGUUGAGACUUCUGCUCUAGAUGGUGAAACUGAUCUAAAGACCAGGUUUAUUCCCUCAGCUUGCAUGGGGAUUGAUCUAGAAGUCUUGCACAAAUCAAGGGUGUGAUUGAGUGCCCUGUUCCUGACAAGGACAUUAGAAGAUUUGGUGCAAAUUUACGGUUGUUUCCUCCUUUUAUUGAUAACGAUCUGUGCCCAUUAACCAUUAAAAACACAAUUCUUCAGUCAUGUUACUUGCGGAAUACCGAAUGGGCAUGUGGAGUAGCUGUUUAUAC